rnacentral:lncRNA from 1 species
AUUAAGUUCAGCCCACACUCAAGGAGCAGGGAAAAUUGAACUUUAUCUCCUAUAGGGGGUCCUUGGGGCAUAUUAUGUUUAUACUCCUCUCUCAGAUAAUAUUGAGGAACUCUGGUGACUGGUGUGGAUAGCUACACCUGUGAAAAUGGUAACAAAUUUGCUCAUAGAAGACCCAGAUGUCAAGAUCAAACUCAAGCUUCAGUCUUUAAUAUAUCCUGCCCUUCAGACGCUUGACAUGGAUUUACUAUCACAUCAGAAAAAACUAGACUCUCUAGUUCUGUCCAAACCAUUCAUGGUCAGGUUCUGUAGGGAAUACUUUACCACAGACAGAUCACUUGAAAAAGUCAUGUUCUUCAACAUGUACCAAUGGAAUCAAACCAUCUGUUCAGAUUUGUUAAUUGGAGUUCCUUGCUCACUGAGAAGUUUAAGAAAGGCCACUUUUGUUAUAUUCCAACUCGUGGUAGUUCUGAGCUAGCUAAAAAAUAUCCAGGGUUCCUAGAUGUGAGGGCAGCCCCUUUGUUGGCCAAUGACAAGUUACAUGGUUUACCCCUGUCCUAUAUCAUCACCUGUCAAUAUGACAUCUUAAGAGAUGAUGGACUCAUGUACAUCACGCGACUUUAGAACUCUGGAGUUCAAGUGACACAUAACCACAGUGAAGAUGGAUUCCAUGGAGCACUUUCCUAUAAUGGGCUUAAAAUUGAGUAUGGAAUAGAAAAUCAGUAUAUGAGUUGGCUAAGUGAAAAUCUAUAGUAAAAAUGUAAGCAAUGGUUUAUUUAAAAUGUAUAAGGCUCAGAACAGGAAACAAAUUAGUGAAAAUCAAAGGGUUGAUGUUUGAAUUGGUCUUUAUCAUCUGUGACCUUUCUAAGGUCCUCAUAGCCAUAGUGGGUUUUGGUUUUGUUUUUAUUUAUUGGCCGCUAGCAAAUUCUUCUCCAUUUUAUUUAUUAUCCUGUUAUUCACUCACUUCUGUGAAGAUACUUUAGUAUUUUCUUCUGCUACCAUUACUCACUUGUUAAAUCUCUAGUUUACAGCUAUAGUUUUUUGAUUGCCGAAUAGUAUUACAGAUGAGAAGAAAGUUUUAAACAAACACGUCUGAUUUGUAAAAUGCCAGUUUUAGUCAACAUGAAUUUAGAGACUUAAAAUGUUUCCCUGUGAGAACUGAUAUGAAAUAUGUGCCAUCUCUUUUAAAAAGCAUUUGCCUCAAUAUAAUGCUGUUUGCCUGUCACUGUAAAAUUUGCUUCUUAAUACAGAUCUCUUCCAGUACUAGGAUACCAACAUUAAUGCAAAUGAUCUUUCAGUUACUUUAGGGAAAGGCAGCUCUAAUUGUGUGAGAAAUUAGGGAGGUUGAGGUAGGCACGAAGCCAGCAUAAGGCAGUAGCUCCACAUGUGGCAGUGGCUUAUAGUCGUGAGCGAAGCUUAAGACACGGAAGAAAUUAUACAACCAAAUUGAAACACUUAAAUCUCUGAAACUUCUUAUGUCCAUAUAGGCACCGUAUGGGGGAAAGACCACAAAGAAUAAGCCAUAGUGAUCAUAUGGUAUGUAAGGUUUGAUCGUUUUGGAGCUGCAUUGAGGAAGGCAGCUGAGGGCCAGCAUAGAAUUUCCUCACAGCCACUGGAAACCAAGCUUUCUUUAUUUUCCUGCUCAGCUGUUGACAGGCAGGAAGCACUGGUGGGGACAGUGGGGCAAAUCACACACUUCCAUUUUUGUCUAUUAUAUCAGGAAAAACAAUAGCAUUCCUGGAAGCCCCACUCAAUACAUAUACAUAUACAUAUACAUAUACAUAUACAUAUACAUAUACAUAUACAUAUACAUAUACAUAUACAUAUACAUAUACAUUUUUAUAUGUCAUUCUACAGAAUUAUAUCUCAUGUGAUCAGCCUUAGCUGUUAAGGUUGCCUGAGGAGUCAUUUUUUUUAAUCUGAGCACAUCAUUCUGAGUAAAACUAAUAUUCAGUAAAAUCAUGUAAGUAGUAGAUAGGCAGUAAGAAGUAGGCCACAAAUUC